UUGCUUUGGCAGUACACAUACUAAAACUGGAACACUACAGGGAAGAUUAGCAUGACCCUGAAUAAUAAUGAAUAUGUGAAACAUUAAAAAAAAAGAUAUUGAA